CUUACCAGCUGCACACCCCGGUCUCUGGACCCUUCCCCCCUGCUGACCAGAGUGCGGCGAUCAGCCAUGCUUUAUGUCCAGCAGAGAGCGCUUCGUCUCUGUCCUCAGCAGGUGAGGAGCCUCCUACCAUGACCUCAGCCUCCUCCCCUGGGGAUGUUGAGGCCUGAGCACCUGCUGGCCUGGCCAGUCCCAGGGCUCAGCUUCCCGCCAAGCCCUCCCCAGGCGUCCCUCGUGCUGAGCAGCGGGAGUGUGCGGUGCAGCAGAAGGGAGAAGAAGAAAUUCCAAGGAAAGAAGAAAUAUGGACAAGCAAAUAUGCUUAUGGUCAUUCGAAGCCAGAUGGUUUAGCAUGCUUGAUUGCUAUUGCUGUCUCCUCAGAGCUCUGUCAUUGCAAGUCAAGCUUCAGGAGAUUCUGCUGCAUGGAAGGAGGGUGGAGCAGCAAAGGGUGUUGGAAAUCCAUGGACACUUUGAACUCUACUCCAACUGUUUCAUCUUCACCUUGACCUGGACACAGAGCCUCUGAGCCAAGGCGACUCAGCCAGGAUCUCACUAUAAUUCAGGUUUGCCUUGAAUUGUCUAUGAAGACCAGGCUAACCUCGAUCUCACAGUAAUCUUCCCACCUCAGCCUCCUCAGUGAUAUUUGUCUCUCUUUAUGGUUGGUGUUACAGAAGAUGAUGAGGAAGAGCCUGAUGAGGAAAAUGAUGACACUGUGUUUAGAAAACAUGAGGAAGAGAUGAGUGAGGAAGAUGAGCAGGAAAUUGAUGCAGUUGUACAUCUGGGAAGUGAACUGGGAGAAACAUUUGAAACAGAUCAGAAUUAUUUACAAAUGAU